AUUGAACGCUGGCGGUAUGCUUUACACAUGCAAGUCGAACGGCAGCACGGGGCAACCUGGUGGCGAGUGGCGAACGGGUGAGUAACAUAUCGGAACAUGUCCGGAAGUGGGGGAUAACGUACCGAAAGGUACGCUAAUACCGCAUAUGCCCCGAGGGGGAAAGGGGGGAUCGCAAGACCUCUCGCUUUCGGAGUGGCCGAUAUCGGAUUAGCUAGAUGGUGAGGUAAAGGCUCACCAUGGCGACGAUCCGUAGCUGGUCUGAGAGGACGACCAGCCACACUGGAACUGAGACACGGUCCAGACUCCUACGGGAGGCAG
rnacentral:rRNA from 1 species